UUGCCUCCUUUCUCUUUUCUCCUUGAUUUUCCCUAGGAAUUCACACUUUUCUUCAGUUUUUAUGUAAAACAACUCUUCCCUCACUAGGUAACUGACAGCUAAUUCCCAGAACAAUGUGAGGUGGCAAGUCAGGGCUGGGAACUGCACCCACCUCUUAUUCAAAACACUAAUAAAAGCACUCCUUCCAGAUAAAGAUAAUUUUCUACUUAUCAGAAGGGCUCAUGAGUAAAUAAGUUGGCCUCCAGCUGCAUAUUAGUGUGUGGGUAAGAGUCAGUAUAUGUGUCUGCGUUGGGGAGGCUUACUAAGAUUCUUAAUGAAGUGUGAAACUAUUUGCAAAAGAUCAAGGAAAGACAUUAUUAACUGAACCUCAACUGGCAGCUACCGAGAUGUGAAGAGAUUUAUUUCUUAGGAUGAUCAGAGCUGGAGCAGCCAUCUUGCACCCAGAGAGCAAAGCCAAGCUGAGAUGGCAGAGCAACAAGACACAGGGUGCCCGGGUGCCCAGUGCCACAAAGCUGCUGUACCCAGCCUAUUCUCUUCAUGUUCAGACUGUUGGAAGAGAGAAAGAUAACUAUAAUUGGGACUGAGGGAUAGAAAUGUCUCCUACCAAAAUCGUGAAGUUCAUAAGUAGCACAAUUGAAAAGAAAGCCAACCUAGCUUCUAAAAUCUGCACCUGGAUCCUUUCUGCAUUGCCAACUGCCAACUGGCGAUUGAGAUGGUGACACUGACGGUCAAGAGGCUGUGGAAGAUGACAAGAAGAAGAAGGUGGGGUGCAGGGAAUGUGCAGGCUUCUGUUAGACCUUCCACCACCUUCUUGGGACUUGGGCUUUUAAAAUAAUGUAGAAGCUAAAAACAAACGGCAACUCAUGAGCGCCCUGAAGCAAAUUUCCAUUUCUUUAUGAUUCUACCCUACCCAGGUCACUUUGUGUUUGUAAAAAGCAUCAUGAUCACUUGCAAUACUGUCUGAUUAGAAGCUGAAUCUAUUUCCCUUUGCAAAUAUGAAGUUUCCCAUAUAUGAAAAUGUUAUAGAAAAUGACCUGUAA
rnacentral:lncRNA from 1 species